UACGAAGGGGGCUAGCGUUGCUCGGAAUCACUGGGCGUAAAGGGUGCGUAGGCGGGUCUUUUAAGUCAGGGGUGAAAUCCUGGAGCUCAACUCCAGAACUGCCUUUGAUACUGAGGAUCUUGAGUCCGGGAGAGGUGAGUGGAACUGCGAGUGUAGAGGUGAAAUUCGUAGAUAUUACGCAAGAACACCAGUGGCGAAGGCGGCUCACUGGCCCGGUACUGACGCUGAGGCACGAAAGCGUGGGGAGCAACAG
rnacentral:rRNA from 1 species